UACGGGGGGGGCAAGCGUUAUUCGGAAUUACUGGGCGUAAAGGGCUCGUAGGCGGCCAACUAAGUCAGACGUGAAAUCCCUCGGCUUAACCGGGGAACUGCGCCUGAUACUGGUUGGCUUGAAUCCGGGAGAGGGAUGUGGAAUUCCAGGUGUAGCGGUGAAAUGCGUAGAUAUCUGGAGGAACACCGGUGGCGAAGGCGGCAUCCUGGACCGGUAUUGACGCUGAGGAGCGAAAGCCAGGGGAGCAAACGGG
rnacentral:rRNA from 1 species